rnacentral:rRNA from 1 species
AGUGAACGCUGGCGGUAGGCCUAACACAUGCAAGUCGAACGGCAGCACAGUAAGAGCUUGCUCUUACGGGUGGCGAGUGGCGGACGAGUGAGGAAUACAUCGGAAUCUACUUUUUCGUGGGGGAUAACGUAGGGAAACUUACGCUAAUACCGCAUACGACCUACGGGUGAAAGCAGGGGAUCUUCGGACCUUGCGCGAUUGAAUGAGCCGAUGUCGGAUUAGCUAGUUGGCGGGGUAAAGGCCCACCAAGGCGACGAUCCGUAGCUGGUCUGAGAGGAUGAUCAGCCACACUGGAACUGAGACACGGUCCAGACUCCUACGGGAGGAAGCAGUGGGGAAUAUUGGACAAUGGGCGCAAGCCUGAUCAAGAAAUACCGCGUGGGUGAAGCAGGCCUUCGGGUUGUAAAGCCCUUUUGUUGGGAAAGAAAAGCAGCAGGUUAAUAACCCGCUGUUCUGACGGUACCCAAAGAAUAAGCACCGGCUAACUUCGUG